rnacentral:rRNA from 1 species
GAUGAACGCUGGCGGCGUGCCUAAUACAUGCAAGUCGAGCGGCAGCACGGUCUUCGGACUGGUGGCGAGCGGCGGACGGCUGAGUAACGCGUAGGAACAUGCCCUAAAGUGAGGAAUAACUGCCCGAAAGGGUGGCUAAUGCCGCAUGUGCUCUUCGGAGUAAAGCUUUAUGCGCUUUAGGAGUGGCCUGCGUCCGAUUAGCUAGUUGGUGAGGUAAAUGCUCACCAAGGCGACGAUCGGUAGCUGGUCUGAGAGGAUGAUCAGCCAGACUGGAACUGAGAACGGUCCAGACUCCUACGGGAGGCAGCAGUAGGGAAUUUUCCACAAUGGGCGAGAGCCUGAUGGAGCAACGCCGCGUGCAGGAUGAAUGCCUUCGGGUUGUAAACUGCUUUUAUGUGCGAAGAAUUUGACUGUAACACAUGAAUAAGGAUCGGCUAACUACGUGCCAGCAGCCGCCGUAA